rnacentral:rRNA from 1 species
AGAGUUUGAUCCUGGCUCAGAUUGAACGCUGGCGGCAUGCCUUACACAUGCAAGUCGAACGGCAGCACGGGGGCAACCCUGGUGGCGAGUGGCGAACGGGUGAGUAAUACAUCGGAACGUGUCCUGUAGUGGGGGAUAGCCCGGCGAAAGCCGGAUUAAUACCGCAUACGAUCUACGGAAGAAAGCGGGGGAUCCUUCGGGACCUCGCGCUAUAGGGGCGGCCGAUGGCAGAUUAGCUAGUUGGUGGGGUAAAGGCCUACCAAGGCGACGAUCUGUAGCUGGUCUGAGAGGACGACCAGCCACACUGGGACUGAGACACGGCCCAGACUCCUACGGGAGGCAGCAGUGGGGAAUUUUGGACAAUGGGGGAAACCCUGAUCCAGCAAUGCCGCGUGUGUGAAGAAGGCCUUCGGGUUGUAAAGCACUUUUGUCCGGAAAGAAAACUUCUGCCCUAAUACGGUGGGAGGAUGACGGUACCGGAAGAAUAAGCACCGGCUAACUACGUGCCAGCAGCCGCGGUAAUACGUAGGGUGCGAGCGUUAAUCGGAAUUACUGGGCGUAAAGCGUGCGCAGGCGGUUCGUUAAGACAGAUGUGAAAUCCCCGGGCUUAACCUGGGAACUGCAUUUGUGACUGGCGAGCUAGAGUAUGGCAGAGGGGGGUAGAAUUCCACGUGUAGCAGUGAAAUGCGUAGAGAUGUGGAGGAAUACCGAUGGCGAAAGCAGCCCCCUGGGCCAAUACUGACGCUCAUGCACGAAAGCGUGGGGAGCAAACAGAUUAGAUACCCUGGUAGUCCACGCCCUAAACGAUGUCAACUAGUUGUUGGGUCUUCAUUGACUUAGUAACGUAGCUACGCGUGAAGUUGACCGCCUGGGGGAGUACGUCGCCAGAUUAAUACUCAAAGAAAUUGACGGGGACCCGCCCACACCGGUGGAUGAAGU